ACAGAGAUGUCCCAGAAAACCGCCAAGCUGCAGUUGUUCCUAGCAUGUUCCCUACUGGCAGAACCUUUGAGGACAUUUCUGACAAUGAUUGUGCCAUAUCCACCGAGGAGUUGUGCACUAAGAUCAGUAACGGAAACUCUGAAGAUGGGAUUGAGUUGGAGGAUGAUUCUGUUGCAAAUACUAACCUUUUGGAUGUGGAGGAAUCAACUCUGCCUUUAGAGCAUUGCAUGAGGAUAGCACCUCAUGAUCAAAACACAGGAGCCUUUUUCAUUGCUGUGCUUCAUAAGAUUUCUGCUUUGCCAGGUAACACUUUACAUGAUAGCCUUGAUCAAUCAGUAUUGACAAGUCGGGAAUUUAAGACCCAGUAUGACCAACCAGAUAUUGACUUGCCAGUUCAGGAUUAGUUGUCACCAGAUGUCCUCAGUUGCAUAUAUUUGUCAAAAUUGUGGUAAAUAUGGGUUGAUGUUGACUUGGUUGUACUUAUUGUAGUGACAAGUAUUUUGAACAUGACGAGUCUCUCAUUGAUUGACAGUCUGAGUCUAUGGGGCUAAAAUGUUCAGUAAAUAGUGUUCUUUUGGCAGUCUGAGGGGUCUAUGAGGGAUAUAGCAAAUCGUAUUGCAUUUGUUAAACUGCAGAUGCAUAAUUUCAUCAGAGAUCUAGUAAUAUUUGAUUGUUUCAUGCAUCACUUCCUUGAGAACAUACUUUCAUUCUUCCACAGCUGUUCAGAAGAAAUCCCUCAGGUCUACCGGGAAGUUGAGUUCCAGUAAGAAUGUACAAGCUCAAAAUGCCACGUGUGAGGUGAAAGAAGAUACAGAUAUUGUUGAAGUUACAGAUGGGCCAGUUUCUGAGGCAGAUGCCCAAGUUCCUGAAACAGUAGCUGUCAGUUCACAUACUGAUGAAAUGGCUGAAGCUGUCUUGGAUGCUGAUCCUAGUAUUCCAUCUGAAGAAAAUGAAGCGGGGGACAUCCAACCUUCUAAUGGAAAUAAAUCUGGUCCCGAUGUAGUUGGAGGAAAAAGGAAGUUACAAGUUCAGGGCAAGUGGAUAGGGGUUGACCCUGUUAUAUUUUACAGGGAUGACAGUAUCGUGUCCAAGAUAAAGGAAUUUUAUGGCAUCAAGGAAUCCUUUCCUUUUAAUGGUCAUCUUGUUACUAGGAAUAGUGACACAAGCCACGUGAAGAGAAUUUAUUAUGUGUCAAAUUCAGUGAAGGAAGUUCUUGAAUUAAAUCUUCUAGCCGGUCAGCAACUGAAGAUAGCUUCAGUUGGAGUGAAGAUGUUUGUAAGUUGUCUCCAAUUUGCUUUAGCUUCCUGUGAAGUUAUUUUCCUACUCAUGUUUAACACUUCGUUUGAGGUGACAAAGAACUUGAGAAAGAACUUUAUACCUAGAAGGAGGGGAAGAUUACUGUUCUCAUAAAGAAACUGAAACACCUAGCAACCCCAACUUUCCUCUAAAAACCAAGAAAAAGAGAAGAAUGCCACUUAUUCUACCAUACUAGGCUAUAUUUCUCUAAAUGUUUCCUUAGCUACAUUGUACCUCAUAGUUGUCUUUGCUUUUACCUCAGGAACGGCAAACAUCAAAAGAAAGCACAGCCUCACCAUGUUCAUUCCGUAUAUCAUCUGAAGGGUUACCACUGCUGCUUCCGCACGUAACGAAACAGAUUCUAUACGCAUCUACAGUAGACUUUAAACAUCUUCUGCAGUAUAAAAGCAUCAAGUUUGCUGAUUUCACUGAUGCCGAAUUUAGAAGCCAGGCAUCCAACUUGUCGUUGGGCUGUUGCAUUGUGGUUUUGAUAAAAGGUUUGUGCAAUAAUAAUUGUGAUAUCCCAAAAUAUUUUAUGCGGUCUACUUCUACUCUUUUAACUUUUCCUGCAUUCUUGCAGAUAAUGAGAAGGCACCAGAUACUUACCAAGUGGAUGCAUCUAGCACUGCUAUUGGGUGCUGGAGGGGCAGGAAUAGCAUAUCUGUUAUGGUAACAGCAAUCGACUGCCAGGAACUCUUGGAGAGAAUGCCAAUGCACUUAGAGACAGACUUGGCCUCAUCCGAAGAAAACAAGCCAUCUUCUGUACAGGCAGCUGAAGCAGUAGUGGAGAUGAAGGAUGCUGAAAUUAAGGAAGAAAACUGAAAAUAUGAUGAUGUCUAACAACAAUUUUGAUGGCGAUUAUCUAUAUCGAAUGGUUGUCAAAUUAGCCUGCUAGGCGCUUCGGUAUACAUUGUUUAUCCCUUGCAUUACGUUCUCAGCCAUGGAUAUAUAAAUUUAUCGAACCUAUCUUGUAGCAACCAGAGAUAAUUGAUUUUUGUGAUCGAUCUUCAAUCACUAAUUUGAAUCAUCCCUUUGGCUUCCAAGAAUUAAUCCAGUCCUUUCAGUUAUUAUGUGAAAAGCCCUGUAUUUUCUUCAAAUCUGUGAUUUGUUCCCGGCCGCAUCCCACAACCAUUACUAUUUCACCCCGCAUGAAUAUUUUCCUUGAGCACCCGAGAACCCUGGCUAUCCAAGCUUGGUUACUAAACAGUACUAGUGUUUUCGAACUAGCAGGAAACAUCAAGGGGAAAAAAACUCAUUUCCAUCAGGUGAAUCUCCACUUCUCAACAUUUAAAGCUCAAUGAAAUGAUUUAGGCCCUGUCCUCAUCAGUAAUUAAGGACUUCCGAGUCACAAAUCCUGAAGUACCAUCACAAGCUGAAAAAUCAUGAUACUCCAAAUAUUCCCCACUUGCACACAGAGGACCUGUAAUUUAUGUCCAAGAAACAGAAACUUCUUCUAAAGAUAAAUUAACGAACCAAUAUGUAUAGCAAUGACAAAGGAAAAGAAAAAAGAGUGUGCCAGUACUCAAAUAUGACCUCGAACAUAGCGUCAAUAAUCUGAUCUUCUCAAAACUCUUUAAUCAUUUUCUUUAUGCAAGGCAAGCUAUAAAAAAGAAAGAUUUACAAUCACAAUGCAACAGAUAUUUCCAAAAUCACUAAAAUGGACAGGGCAAAUCAAAACCGACGAUAUUAUGAAGAUGCACAGCACAUCCUAUUCUUCUCUGGGAUUACUUGUGCAGGGCCAGGAACAAGUAUUUUUUUGCCUGCUAAAGAUGCAGGGUUGCCAUUACCUUGAUCUUCACCUGCAGCGAGGGUCUUCCUACUAACAAUAUAGAAAAUCUCUGUCAAAACUGUCAAGAAUGCUGUCUCCACAUUUGUUGCAUUUAAUGCAGAGGUCUCCAAAAAGAAUAAUCCUUCCUUCUCUGCAAAUUCCUUGGCAUCCUCAGUUGGUACCGCUCGCUGGUCUUCCAGAUCAGUUUUGUUUCCAAUUAAGAUAACGACAAUGUUCUUGUCAGCAUGAGCACGCAAUUCUUCCAGCCAUCGAGGUAUGUGAUCAAAAGUUUGGCGUUUUGUUAUGUCAUACACCAACAUCGCACCAACAGCUCCCCUGUAGUAUGCACUUGUGACAGCUCUGUAUCUGUUCACGAAACCAGCAGCCACAAAAUUUCACUCUCACUAAAGGCACAAAAGAUUACAUAAACUAGCCCUACAGAAAGAGCUGAACCUUUAGCAUCAUUCAAAAUUGGUUUUUGAACAGAUUUGUUCAAGUAAAACAUGCUCAUUAGUUGAUGUAUUCUAGUUACUAGUAAUCUUCUAAAAACCAUGCCCACACCAACUUGAGCUUUUAUUAGUUCCAAAAGAGUUUGAGCAAUCAAUUUUCUUACCUUGUUUCAAGUCUCUUGCAUGAUAGUGGUUCAUGCUUCCAUGCAUUCCCAUCCUAAUCUCAUGUUCUAGAACAAAUCAAGAGUUGUCAUAAUAAGUAAAUUAGAGCACCAUCUCUUGGCCAUAGAGACAUUGAUGUGUCGUUUUUCCAGAAAUAUGUUUCAAUACAUUUGAUACCUAUUAACUUGCGUCAACAGCCAUCCCAGCCACCUAGCGGUUUAACGUUACAAUGCAUAAAAUAUGGUGCAUUUAACUAUUGUUUUGUAACGCAUAUAUAUUCCUGGUCGAAUAACGUAUUUUCCCAUAUCUGGCAAUGAGUUCACCCAGAAAAACUUGUGGCCACAUGUCAGUAGGGGUGGAUCAUUCAAAACAGAUUUAAGUUGCUCUUACUUUAUCUUUCAAUUAAAUCCGCUAAAACCCAAAGUGCCACCCAUUUCAAUACCUCUACAAGGAACCCACUAUUAGAUUGGAAAUUUAUUCACUUACAUUAGGAAUGCAUCUAAUUUAUUUCACUUCCAGAACCAGCUCAACUAAAAUUGAUAAAGGUCUGGGGAGGAUAUGAGAAUAAUUACUCUAAUAAGAAGAACUAAAUAAUGUUAUAGUAGAACAUGAGCACUCAUGCAUUAGCUGGAAAAAAAUGUAAUACUCGUGCUUACAAGCAAUAAGAAUAUUUAGACUCAAAAUAAAAUUGAUCUAGAAUGGAAAUCUCUAGAGCGAGUUAGACCAAAAAGUUACAAAAAAAAAGGAUGUUUUGGUAAUGUAGCAACAUUCACAAGCUGUAUUAAAGGGAAAAAAGUGAAGCAAAAGGAGAAAUCCUAGAAGGCCGACAUAAAUUUCCCAAGAAAUGAGCAACAAUGGAAGCUUGCUUUUGAUAUGCAACAUACUUUGUGAAAGUGGCGCCAAUAAAAUAUAAAUGAAUAAUUAAAAAAAAAACUAAACCUACCAGUACUAGGAGAGUUAUUAACCAAUGAAAAACAUAAAACUUGCCUACCAAACCAAAUCUAAGUUACCGAAACCACUAUCUCAUAAGCAGACCCCUUGCACGAAAUGACCUUAGCCAAUAACAAUUACUAGUUAAAAAUGGGAUAGAAAACCAGGAAUUUCCAUGAAAUGAAAAAAUUACCAAAACACCCUCCAGCAUAAAAGUGCUAAAAGUAUAUAAUAAAUAAAAUUCGACCUUAUCCUUAAUAACUUCCAUCUUGGAUUAUGAAUCUCGCAACUAUAUAAGCUCAUAGCCUCACAAAAAAGCAUCCAAGAUCAUCUGUAUUCAGUGGACAGCAUCACAAAUGCUUUCAUAUCGUAAACAAAUGAACAUCAAAAUAUACCCAAAUACACAUAUUAUUUCAUUUCAUUUUUCGAUAAUUGUCACUAAGUAUGAUCUCCAAAUCAAGAUUUCUUUGUUUCUUUUCUUUCAGUGUGUUUGCAUGUGUCAGCAACAGAGAGAUCACACUCACAACCAAUCAUGCACAUGCAAAUCAAAAUCCCAACUUAACUUCUACUAUUCAAUGUAAACACCAAAAUUUUAUCACAACCGACAAGACAACCAAAGAUAACAAAACUACUACGAGCUUGAAACUACAGAGAGCUUAAAAUUCUAACAAAAGAUUUAACAUUGAUAAAAGUAACCAAACAUGCAAGACCAUACCAAAACAUCUAAAUAGAAGAAACCCACAAAUAAAAAUCCAAACUUGACGGGAAAAACAGAUUAACAGGUUCAUCAAAUCCAUACCGUUCUUGGCCAGCAGUGUCCCAGAUCUGGGCUUUAACGGACUUAUGCUGAAUGACAAGAGUUCGAGUUUGGAACUCGACUCCAAUGGUGGCUUUAGAAUCCAAGCUGAACUCAUUUCUUGCAAACCGAGCCAGAAUUUGAGACUUCCCCACGGCUGAAUCCCCUAUCAAGACUACUUUGAAGACAUAGUCCACUUUCUGGUUUGCAUCCCCAUAUCCACCCCCACUCGCCAUCAGAAAAGGCUAAAAGAAAAGGUGGGUUUUUGUGGGUUUGUGCAGAAGAGUAAAGCAAAGUGUGCUGAGUGAAGGCAGAGAUAACAGUGUGGUGGGAUAGGGAGAGGAAAUGGGGUGAAAUGAGACAGUAGGAUACAGAGAAGGCGUAGAUCUCGGGUCUUUUGUAGCAUUGUGCUGUAGGAGUAAUUGUUAUGUUUAAUGAUUGAUAUCAUUAAUUUACUCCACCAAAAAAAGUUAAAAAUAGCGCAUGAUGAUUAAUGGACCACAAAACUCUAAAUCGAAUAAUUUAUUCUUUUUUUUUUCUUUAUCACUUGUCAUGCCUACAUCUACACCUACUCCUAGUCCUAAUCUAGCCUAUACUAGGGGAGGGAUCCAACAGGGUCACGGGGAACCGAUGGAGACUAAAUCACCAUCGGACUAUACAGGUGCACAGCACCUACAUGAAUUUUAAGCAAAACCACAUUAAGUGACAACUUUUUGAUGGAAGCAAAGGUUGAACCCUUGACCUCCCAUCCCACACUAAAGGUGGUGGCCAAUCUAUUCAUACAUUAAUUAAAUCAUAUGUGAGGAUGACCUUAUCUCAGUUUAAGUUUUGCUACAUAUGAAAUUUUUUGCAAUGUUACUAUUCCAUCUCAUCAUUUAAAAGUUAUCAGUUUUAAUGUUGUUAAUUUAGUUCACCAUUUGGGAACUCAGAAGUUUUUUUCACAGGUUGUUGGGUUCACCGCUUGAUUAUUUUCCAAUAACAUUAGAGAUAAAAAUUGAUUACUUAAUUAUACUUCGAGUCAACCUUUUUUUUUUAAAGAUGUCUUUUAGACAUAUUACUUGCAACAAGAAAUUAAACUUUCAAUCUGUUUGACGGGUGUUAUAUUUCAGAUGUUAUAUUUUUAGAAAUAUAAUAUUAAUUAAAAAAAUGUAUAAAUGCAAGGAAAUUAAUUAGAAAAAAAUAUAUAAAUACAAGAGAAAGUAAUAAUUGAUAGUUAUGUAUAAAAUAUAAGUUUGUUAGAAAAAUCCUUAAACUUUCUUUGUUUUAAUAGACAAUAGACAAUGUGCUUAAUGGGUAAAUUUAGUAAAUCACAAAUAACCAAUAUGUAGAGUUUAAUGAUCUCAUUUGAUAAAAUUAAACUGAACUAAAGUAUUUUCUUUUGCUCUUUUAACGUGCAACAUAAAAAGAAUGAAGGAUAAUUGUUUUCUAUCUGAUUGAACAAUUAAAAAAAGUAGUAUCAAAAGUGAAUUAAAAUAAUUAGUCAAUUUUUUCCAUUUCACCUACCUCCUAGGGUCAAUCUUUGUUGAGUUGACCGAUGAUCCAAAGAGUACCAACAAUUAAAAAUUAAUUAGCAGUUUUAUGGAAAAGGGUGAAAGGAUGUCUUUUUGGUGCUAUUAUCUUGGGCAGGCUGUCUCACUGAUUUAUUGCUCAUGCACCCCAAGGUGAAGAUUUUCAAGCAUUUUUUGGGCUAAUUCCCAACAACACUUUAUUGCCUCUUAUCUACCCAGACAAACCCUCGCCUUUUCUGGCUAAUUUUUAGCUUAAAAGAUCAUGAGAAGCAAAAAUCUGUGAUUCUACUAGUAUUAUUGAACCACUGGUUUUAGUUCAAUGGCCAGGAGAGGGGAGUGAGUUAUAAUUGUUCCUUGUCCUCAUGAUUGGGAAUUGACAACUCACUAGAUUAGUAGUUCAAAUCAAUGAUCUGGAAUUGACAAUUAAGAUAGAUAGUAACCCAUAGGAUAUGCGAAAUCAGUUUCCCUUCAUGAGUAGAUUAUUUGCUCAAAUAUAUUUGUUAACAUCACCAUUAUAAUUUUCAAUACAGUUUUUUAUCUUCCCAAUUAUCUUUUUAUCUCAUAUACAUCAUAUCACAAAAAGUACUACAGUAAAAAUAUUUCAAAUAAUUUACAAUCCAAACGUGGGUGUGUUAAGAGAGAGCAUAGUGCCGACAGGAUAAGAACUCAAUACAAUUGUAUUUCGUGCAAUUCUUUUCUGCCAUUGUAUUUGUUUAAAUUUUUUGUGUAUAAAUAUAUUAUAAUAUUGCAUUGAAUGUAUGUCAAAUAUUUUAUUUAUAUUUAUUAUUUUUAUCUCGAAUACAAUAAUAUAACGUAAUUAUAUAUCAAAUAAUGUAAUAAUAAUAAUAAUAAUAAUAGGACCGAAUCGUACUAGAUCCCAAUCACACUGACCCUCUCCUGCUUCUCUUCUUUAAAAAGUUUAGAAUGCAAUGGUGCGCGCAUCUAAUCUAAAAAUGGGUUAACCUCCUUUGGUGUUUAUGAAAAAAUUAGUUGAACUCCCCCUUCUCUUUUGUAACAUAGAAAUUCCCGUAAACUUUUGCUAUUGGAUUAAAAAAAAUUUGGGAUAAUAUCAGAAACCUCCUUUGAGGUUUCUUGAAAUAUCACUAAGCUCCUUCCACAUUUUGAAAAUCUCUCCUACCAUCCCUUGAAUUGACAUUUUCUUAACAAUGUCAGCCCCUCUAAGCAAAAGUAAAAAUGUAUUUUGGAGGAGAGAAAGUAUUUUAGUUCCCUUCAUACCCUUAGUUUGACUGAUACAGUGACAUAAGAAAGUUGCAGUAGGUGAAAAAUGUGAAUUGGAGAGUAUUUUUCUGGCAUGAGCACUGUUGCAUGAUUGUUGGACAUGCAACGGCUACUUUGAGUGCUUCCAGCGGUAUUAAAAGGUGAAGGAACCGUUGGUGAAGUAAGGCAGAUGGAGAGGUAAUUUGGCAAAGCAAUGGUCAGUUCAUCCUUUAAAGGGCACUUAUACAAAUCACCUUCAUCAUUAAGCAUGAAGAACCGGUAUUGUAAAUGCAACCGCAACGCUACAUUACGAAUUUCAUAGAAUGAAAGAAAUCUGGAUAAGCUAUAUUUUAGUUGUUCAAAGUGCAACUACUUCCAGUGGUAUGAAGGAAAUGAAGGUGAAUAGUUGUAGAGCCAAAGAAAUAAAGGUGAAAAAGUGUAGAGCCAAAGAAAUGAAGUGGAUCGUGCAGUGCUAUCAUUAAGGACAUCAAAUCAGGAAUGUAACUUGAUGCCUCGAUAAAAUGCAAUUAUCACCAUCUUGUUCAUCAUCAAUCUACUACUCUUAGCAAUUUAUCUUUUCAUUCAAAUAGUUAAAGCAAUCACACUUUCUUGUUCUAGUAAUGGUAGAUGUGUUCCAAGCUAUUUGAAGCUUUACUAGUCAUACAUGAAAGAGUCAGAAGGCAUGUGUAAGUCGGACAUGAUGUUAAGCUAUGUGAAAAUAAGUUGAAACUGUAUUUUACUUCAUACAUAUGCCCCCCAAGAUUUGUUGCAUUACUGUUAUACCAAAAGUCAUACUUGACAGAAAAUGCUCUAAGCACACAGGUGAAGUUCCUUAAGUACAACAAUACUUUACUGCUAAGUUCAUUCCAAUUACAACAGUAAGCUUUCCAUAUAUAAUGGUAAGGAAUCUGAAACAUAGAGUUAAAAAAAAACACAGCAUACACGUUGGAGUUAGCAAAUUCCAUACAUAAUGGAAUAAGUCAUCAUGUUCCAAGAUCUGUGGAUAGCAGCAGAGCAUACUUGGCAAGAGUAAAUUGAAAUUCCACCGUAUAGCACCAAAACAUAUGUCCAAGAUUUGUUCACUGGGACUGGGAAUGCAUAUAAGUACUUGGCAUACAGUACAAAUAAUACUUAGUAAAAGUAUAUAGCAAUCCACAAUAAUUGAAAACAUCAUCUAAAAAUAUCAUUCUAGAUGAUGAGGAUUGCUACAUAUACAACUAUAUCAGAUCAGUCUCCCAAAGCAAAACCCAUAUUACUAGUACUAAUUAGAACCACAUACUGAUGCUGCUAUUGUCAUUGUGAGUUCCAGUGGUAGUUGCAGAGUAGAUAUUGAAGAGGCAGUGACUGUUGGAGCUCUUUCAGAUGCAGUGACUGCUGGAGUUUGAUGUGGAUUAAGAGCUGCAUUUCGUCUGGCUCUCUUAUUAUUGUUAGCAACAGUAGUUCCAACCCAUGCAUUUGGCCCUCCUCUCUGAAGCCAUGCAACAAAUUCUAUUAAACUAAUGGUCUUGACAGUUAAAAUAGUUAGCAAUAGGUAAUGAAACUAAUUUCUGAUUAGCAUUACCUUUCUGGUAUUAGUACUAGUGCUAGCAGAAUGAGUAAGUUGAACAUUAGCUCUAGCAGUUUGAUUUUGAGUGCUUUUAUUACUGCUUUGACUUGACACAAUCACUGGGACAUUUCCUUGUGCAUGUUCUUGACAAAUCAUGACAAAAAGCUAAGCUCAUUUGCAAUUCCCAAAUACACAUAAAGCUAUUGUAAAUAUUCAACUGCUACAAUUACCCAUAGAACAGAUCCUGCUAAUUCAGUAUUGGCAAUGUCUCUUCCUGGUCUUCCUCUUCAACUUACUACCUGAUUUGCAGAGGUACUGCUGCCUCUUUUUUCAGCAACAGGAGUUCCUUGACAAGUUCUCCUAUUAUGUCCAAAUGCACCACACUUAGAGCACCUAAAACUGAUUGGUUUCUUGUGUUGAGAUGCAAGAGCUCCUUUAUCAGGUGCUCUUCUUCUAUUUCUUCUUAGUCUGCUAGCUCUUCUUAUAAGUGGUGGUGGCAAAACUAUUGCUGGUGUCACAUCUUCCAUAUGAGGCCACCUAUUCAUAUGUGGAAUUGGGUUGAUCAUGAAUGCAUAUGUUUUCGAAUAUUGAUCUCUUGAAAAAGCUGCAUCACAAUAACUUUCCAGUUUCUCCUUUUUAUAAAUAGCUCCUAGUGCAGCAUGUUUGCAAGGAAUGCCAGUCAACUGGAAAGCCCCGCAUUCACAUGUCCUCUUAUGCAGCUUGACUAUAUAGGACUUAUCCACAUCUGUUACUUCAAAUGUGUUCUCACUUGCCAUUGUCAAUGAACACUUUCUUGAUCCAGAUGUAAUAUCCUUCAACUUACCAAUAACAUGUGGAGUAAGCCUAGAUGUCCAUGCGCAGCCUUUUUGAUACCUCUUAUGUAGUUUCUUCAUGAAUUUUUGCCUCAAUUCAUCAGCCAGAGCAAGUAUAUUCUUUUCUCUUAGUUCAUCAACUCAUACAUUAAAAGAUUCUGUGAAAUUAUUGGUGACAUGAUCACACUUAAUUUCAACAGAAAAUGCAUGCCUUGCCCAAUUACACUUAGAAAUGUUUGCUAAGUAUCUCCAAGCAUCUAUGUUAAUAUUCUUUAUUCUUUCCAUAGGUUCAUUGUGUCAUAUCAGAUCAUAGCUUUUUAGCUGCUUGCCAAAAAAAACUUCUUCUUAGAAGCAAUCCUGGAAAUUUCACUUUGAAGUUGCUGUAAAUGUGUCAAUCACAAUAUCGUGCAGCAGCUUGUGGCACUUGUUCCUCAUAUGCAAGGUUUAGUCCCUAUACAGAGAAUGGACAGAAACAAAUUCAUGUUCUGUUACUUGACAGCCAUGCAAAACAACAAUGGAAGAAAUCUUAUACAUAAAACAUACCUUCUGCCUAUCACUCAUGAAGGUGAGUGGAAUAUUGUUUGGAAAAAGGCCCAAAGAAAUCCUGAAAAUAGUAAAAAAAUCAACUCCAAACUUCUUUGUUUUCACAUUCAACAACAGCAAAAGCUAAUGGAAACAAACUGUUGUUCCCAUCAAGAGCAAUAGUAGUCAACAGAAUGCCCCCAAAUGCACCUUUCAAAUAGCAGCCAUCAAAUCCAAUAAAUGGCCUGCAACCUGCUAGGAAACCAUCUCUUUGUGCCUUGAAACUUAUGAACAAUCUCAGAAAUUUAGACUCCAUAAGAAGGUUUGGCCUAUCAUAGUGAAUUUUCAUGAUGCUUCCUAGGUUAUUAAUCCUCAAAAGUUCAGCAUAUUUUGGUAACUUUCCAUAGGCCUCACUGUGUUAGCCUUUUAUUUGUUCCAAGGCUUUCUUUUUUGCCCUGUAAAUUUGCAUUCUACUUGGCAAGACUCCAUGCUUCUGCAUCUCCCUUGCUUGUUAUCUUUGGGUGAUCUCUCAUAACAGAAAUUAAUUUUUUUGCAAUCUAAUCUGGUGUUGCUUUUGAGUUUUUUCUAUUCAUAACACACGUAUGCUCAGGUGUAUAUGUCUUAACCAUGAAUGUGGUUGUAUCAGCAACUGGCGAUGCAUGAAUCCUCCAAUUACAACCCUCAGCACCACACUUGGCAGUGCACCUGCUCUUUUCAUUUUUCAACCUCACCAAUGGAAAUCCUUUCUGAAUAGCAUAGUCUUUUAACACUGUUUUAAAUGCAUCCACAUUGGUAAAUAGCAUCCCUUUCUUAAACUCAAUGUCCUCUCUUAGAUUGUAAGUCCACAUUUUUGAUAGCAUGAUUGCUCUUAGAGGAUCUGAUUCUUGCUCAGAUUCUGAAUUAGGCACAACUUGUGCAUCCUCAAUCUCCUCAUAAUCAGACAAGUCAUUUUCCUCCUUGUCACUGGAAGAAAUUAAGGCCCUAUCUUUAGCUAUGACAUAUUCCAAGUCACUAUCUAUGUCAUCCUUCCAAGAGUCAUCAGAACUAGAAGCAUAAAUCUCAUCAUCACCUUUACUGUCAACUAUAGGAAUAGGAGCUUUUUCGACUCUUAUGUCUUUCUGUGCAUCCUGAAGUUGGUUAUUUCUGUUGUCUACCAUAUUCUCCUCUGUAGUACGAAUAAUAUUCAGGUGCAGCAAAUACAAGUUUAUAACAAGAUCUUGCUCAUGAAGUUUGAACAUAUAAGAUACUGAUUUGUCACUACUGAUGUCCAUAAAGCCUGUUAUCCUAGGAAUCGCACAUUUCAUAUGCACAAGCAUGUUCAAAUUUCCAGGCAAAUCAUUUAUUGCUUUAUCAGUAACAUCACCGAGAAAGUCAAUAUAUUGGUAGUUCUUUGGAUCGACAUUAGGAAUUCUGACAGUGUUUUCCAUGUAAUGGACUACAAUAUCAUGUGCAAUAAUUCUUCCAUCCUAUAUAUCAGUGUGCUCCCAAGAAAAGUCUCAAUCAGUUGCUAUACGGAUCACAUAUUUAGGUUGCUAUAACACACGCAUGCUUAUUCAAAGCCAAACUCAUGUUGCAAAACAGAACCUUUAUAGCAGCUUUCAUGAACAUCAUCACCCUCACCAGCUUUUCAUUUAAAUUUUCACUUUUGUCUACUAACCAACUGUAUACACUACACUUAGAGCUUGUCAUAUGUAUUGCAGCUUUAAUCUACAGAGCUAAGCUCUUCUUAUGUAUUACAGCUUCAAAAAACUCAAUAUUCAUCAACUUUUUUUUCAUCAACCUUAUAAAGGUCAGGCAUACAUCAUCAAAUCACACAUUCUUUAUAGCAUCCAACAUCAACAAUACUUAAUAAAACAAGAGCAUACAAAGAGUCUGGUUGGAUUAUAAACUCGGUCAUCAAGUCCAACAAAACACAAAAACACAAGGAAAAUAGAAAUAUUAUAGGCAAAUCAAACAGAAAGCUUCAUGACACCUGUAUUUUCUCCUAUUACAUGUUGAUCAUAUCAACCAGCAAUGGAAGAUUUUUACCUGUUCUGCAGCUUAGUUUUGACAAUCACACUUUCAGUCCCACCGAACGCAUGCAAUUCAUUCAAGUGCCAUAUUUCUCCUCCUCUGCAAUAUCCAACAAGAGAUUUCCAGAAACAUAGCUUCAACUGGUUCUCCAAGCUACAAAUAACAAUCAUAGUUAUAAGUAGUAUUUCAUUCCUUGGCAUUUCCCGGGCACUUAGAUGUCUUAUUAGAGCAAAAUGGCGCCAUGAUACACGUAUGGAACUCAGUUUCUAGGCGGCAAUGGUUUCCCGCUCCUUAUACAGUUGCAUGCUUAGUGAUAUUGUCAUUUUUUCUCCUUUUAUCAGCUGAAUAAGACCACAGCAGAAACAAGGGUAUUAUUGGCAAUUGAUGAAUUUUCAUAGUGACUUCUGACCACUACUAUCACUUGAGGGGUGGUAGGAGAGAUUUUCAAAAUGUGGGGGGGAGCUUAGUGAUAUUUCAAAAAACCUCAUGGGAGGUUUCUUAUAUUAUCCCAAAAAAAUUCUAAUAUUAUUGGGCCAAAUAAAAACAACAUUUUUGCCACUACGCAAAGCAAAAAUUCUAUUAUUUUUGAGUAAACUAAAAAGAAUUCCACUUUUAUUGGGUUAAUUACAAAUGCUCGUUCAUUUUAGUCGAAUACAUAAAACUUCUUGCAAAUUGGAAACAUUAAACUUCCAAUUCUCGUACUCAAGAUGAAAAAGACUUGUUUUUUAACCCUUCUAUUUAGUUCAAGCUUGUUAACUCUUUCUCAUUUGUGCUCUACGUACCUAUUUAAGAUUCAAUGAUAGUUGAUUAUUUCUAAAAACAAUCUUGAGUAUGCGUAUGCACACAAUUUUAAGUGUUUGGAUAUAACUUUUUUUUUUCUCAAAUAAUAUUUUAUUUACAUCAUAAACAUAUUUUUCAAUCAUUUUUUUAUAUUUUUAAUUUUUUUUAUUUCACAUAUAUCAUAUUACAAAAAAUUACUAUAGUGAUAUUUCAAAUAAUCUCCAACCCAAACACAUGUUUUCUUUAACUAUAAAUUUGUUUGAAAUGAAAAAAAAAAGAGGAUUAUAAAACAUGUUCAUCCAAACAAAAGUAGCUACUACUAAAAGUUGCACCGAUCGCACGAAAGCUACACUGGGCCCAAUUCUGGUUUGGCCCACCACUUACCACGUAAAUGGGUCAAGACAAUUUGACCCAUCACCAACCACUCAUAACCCGAACCCAUUUAUCCGAUUCUACAGUCUCUUUAAAUACGGCACUCAUUCGGUCCCCCCCUUCAUCAGUCUAUUUCCGCUCUGUUCUAUCUUCUGCAGCCCUCGUCAAUCAGGUAUCCCAAAAUCAUCAUUUUUUUUAAGGAAUUCUAAAACUAGUUUGGGUUUUUUCCUGAGAUAUGGUAGUUGCAGUUUUAGUAUAGUCUUAGGUUUGAAAACCUUAAAUAAUUAAAGAAAAAACGUUUUCCCUAUUAUCUCCUAUUUUUAGCUCAAAAAGGUAGCUUUGCUCCAUCCCUUUACCAGAACCCUUCUUUCGAUGUGUGUUUUUUCGAAUGGUUAAUCCCAUGUUAUGAUUUCAUUAACUCGCUUAUUUUUUGAGGAGUUUAAAGUCAUGGUUUUGAGCUGUUUUUGUAGGUUCAGUUAGCUGUUUCAGAGUAAAGGAGGAUGGCUGAUACCCUUUUUCAAGAUAUAUUCACUGUUCAAGAGGUGGACCCUGGUGGCAAAAAGUUUGACAAAGGUUUUGCUGAUUCUUAUUAAUCUGUAAUCAGUGUCCCUUAAACUGUCUUAUUUUGACUUCAAUUUGUGUGCUUUUGGGUGUAGUUUAGAAGUGCUUCGUUGCAGGACUCUAUAGAUUGUUAAUGUUGAUAUGUGUAUUGGUGGAAACUUAAUUAGGCAAUAUUAAAGCCUCGUGUUGUAAGUUCAAUCGUUUUGUGGAAAGAGGGUGUGAAUUUAGUGCUUUUGCCAGUGCAUAUAGGCAUCCUGUUUUGUUGUAAUUCAUUCCAUAAUGCUUUUGAUUUGCUUAUGCUGGAAACCAUUUAGAAUAAUUUGACUUCUGGGAAGCUGAGAAAAAUUUAAUUCAUUGCAGUUCCUUGUUCGUUUCUAUCUGUAUUGCCGUUGAAUUCUCAAAUUACUAGUUGAAAAUUUCUAUCAAAGGAGCGUGGCAUAAAAUUUUAAUUAUUCAUCAGGGUCAUCCAAGUAGCUCAUUAGCAAAACUGUAGCUAUCAAAAUUUUUUACUUGGAAGAGUAAGUUGAAGAAAGUUGUAGUACCAGUGGAAUUUUGUUGGUUUUAUGUUAUUUGACCAUUUUGUUAAUCCUGUAAAUUUUAGAUUUUGUAUUGUUUAGGUUGCAUUAUUGAUUUUAGAAGUUUAGGUGAUGAGGAGCUAAUUAUCGUGAUUAUCAUCAAGUAGUUGUCUUUAUAGGAGAUAGACUAGCUUUUGGAGCUUGGAUGUAGUUUAGUCUAAAAAAACUCAUGGAUGCUUUUAACUGGAUUGAAGAUGUAGAGAUUCUUUUGGAAUUAAACGUAGAGUAGCGCUAGACUUGUAAAAAAGUUCGUCCAGAAAACAAUUUAGUAUUUCAUGGCUGCGGAAGAUUGCUUAGUGGUGGGCCCUUCUUUACUUCCACGUGUGACAUGGAGAACCUUUUUCUAGACAAAAUUCAUUUUCCUUACCAGUAACUUCACUUCUGGCUCAUUUAUACACCCACGUGUUGUCGUUAUAACAGAACUGAUAUUCCUUGUGUUUGUGUAUAAGGAUAUCCACAUAAAAGGUGUAAGCAAAAAAGGAGGUGAUAUAUCUAUUUUUAGUUGGAGUUGAUAUUAACCUACUUGCUAUUAAUUAAUUUUGGACAUUUUCUGGAAAGAAAAGGGUAAGGUCAGUCCUAUCAUGAUUUCAACUUGCUUAUAUAUCUUUAGAAAUGUUGCUAGUUCCAAUAUACACACAAGCAGAUUCUGCUGUCAUUUCAAUGCAGCUCACACGUCUGAUAUGUUAACCCCAUAAAUAGAUUUUCCUGUGGAUUAAGUCAGAUCUGUGCUGUUAAAUUCACAGCCAUGGUAACAAUGACAUAGGGCUUGAUACUUCUUAGAAGGAUAGGAUUUCCUGCUGAUCAGGACUUAGUGUUGCAUGACAUGUUCACAAAACUUAUGACAUGCUUAUGGAUUAUGAAAUUCUCUUAUUCUAACUGCCAAUCAUGUUCAUGUAGUUAAUCGCAUUGUGGCUAAGAGUGAGCAGUUGGACAUGUACAUGCAUCUUGAUAUUAAUACAGACAUCUACCCAAUGCGCGUGGGUGACAAGUUCUUAAUGGGAUUAGCAUCAACUUUGAACUUGGAUGGAACACCAGAUAGUGGUUAUUUCGUGCAGGUAAUCUUUCUGUAAUUUAUUGUCCAUAUAUUCCUGCUUUAAAAUUACAUUUCCUGUACUAGGUCCUGACUGCAGAUCUAUGCUCUUGGUGCGUGGUGACUUGUGUUGAAUUUGGGGGGCCUCUGCUCCUUACUAAGUUAUUGCAUCUUGCUCUUUUAAUUGUGUUCAACUUCUUGUGCUGUCAAAUGCUAAAUUGCAAAUAGUUUUAAUUCCCACUAUUGGACUAAAUACUUUCAAAUGGUUUUGGGUCCAAACAAGUGGCAAAAUUCUAUUAAAUAGCUGAAUAGCCUGAAUUUGAAUUGUUGGAGGUUUAGGUUUUGGAUGCUGUGCAGAAAGGUUCUUCCUAUAGCUUUGGACAAUUUUACUCUGUGGCUCAAGACUAGCUUUCUACCUGAAAUGUUUUACUCAUAUUUUUUUCCCCUAGAUCUUGGGGUAGGUGGCGCAAGUGCCUAAUUAUUCAUAAAUCAAUCAUCUAGAUUGAAGUUUCUUUGGAUCUAAACCCUUCUAGUCUAGCGUUUUUUUUUUUUUUUUUGGGUAGAUCUCUUUGAGGCUUCACAACACAAGAGUUGGGUCGUUCCAGGAAAAUUUUCUAUAAUUCAACUUUCAGUUAUAGUUUAACUCUUAUGUUAUCCAAAAGGGAAAUAUCCUGGUUUGCAACGCUUGAUUAGAUAAGAUUUUCUGAUUAGAUAAGAUGUUCUGUUUAACAAUCUUACAAAAUACAUGAUUUUUCUCUUCUUUGUGUUUGCUUGGUUGAAUUGAAUGGAUAAGUUGUUUCUUGUUUUGUACAAAUAUUACAACUCCUUUUAUCCUUCUUAAUGGUUGCAAUAGUUUCAGUUAUAUGUGGAACUGCCUGAUGACAUCUUUGUGCAAGGAAAUUAUACCUGUAAUGACUUCAAUAUGAUCCUGUGUACUGUUUACUAAUUUGCCUUUGGAGCGGAACUGAUGCUUAAUAUACCUGCUUCAAGUUUAAUAAUUUUUAUUGAAAUUCUUACAAAGCUUUAAUUCUUCUUGAUUGUCAUUCAUGCGAUACUGCAGUACAAGAAAUAUUUGAUUUAUGACCUUGUACUUUUGAUUUCAGGGUGGUAGGAAAUCACUUGCAGACAGAUAUGAAUACGUCAUGCAAGGGAAGCUGUACAAAAUAUCCGAGGAAAAAAAGAAACGUAGAGCGUAUGUCUCAUAACUUGUCCAGUGGUUAUACGGAAUAAUUACUGGAUGUUGCCUUUAUUUCUGUUCCUGUUCAUUAAUCUAUGUUGUUGCCUCUUUAAUGACAUUUUACCUGCUUGGGAAAUGGGAGCAUGAAGGAAGAGGGAUGCAAAGUCCAAGGGAAAAAGCUACAUAUAAAGAUUAGUCAGCUAAAUAUAAAGAUUAGCCAGUUAAAUAAAAUAUAAAUAUUAGGACAAUGUGUAUCUUUUUAAUAUCUGGUCACAAUCCUUAAAAUGGUGCUAGUAUGACUUAAGAUGAAAAAUAAUAAGAUUGACACUAUUCUAAACAAGAUAAAUAAAUGGGUUGAUCUACAAUACAGUGUAUAUAUGAAGAUAUUUUUCUAUGUUCAAUCAGUGUAUAUUGUUCGCAUAUAUAAUGAACCAUUAUGUGAUCUUUUCAUAGACGUGCAUAAAUCCAGAUUUGCUUAUCAGAGAACCGUCGGAAUCAACUGCGUAUACGAUAUGAAUUCAUAAUUAAAUGGGUAAAUGGAUGGAUAGUUCCAAAAUAUGGGUUUUUUUGUGUGCAUAUAAUGAUAUAAAUGGCAUGGAUAUAUCAGUUAAUAUGUUGUAUAGUAAGUAGUUUGUGAACUUUUUUAUUACAAUCAUUUAGCAAGUUAAGCAUUGUUCUUUCGCACUUCUACCUGAUGUCACUCGGUUUUCUGGCUGGCUUUCAGGGAGAUAUUGGCUUCCUUUGGUGGACUUCUGAUGAUGUUGAGGGGGGAUCUUUCUGUUGCCUCUAAAUUUGAGCUUGAUCAGAGGUUAUUCAUUCUCAUAAGGAAGGUCUGAAAUCCAGUUGUUAUUGGAAGCUAUGAUUCCAAAUCCGUUUCUGCCUUAAUACCUCAGUAGUCCUUCACUUCCCUUGUAAACUAAGAUGAGGUGCUGCUACUUCAUUCCAAGCAUCCAGAACUUAUUCCAAUACGAGUAUGUUAUGGCUGUAUCUAUGUCUUCUGGCUCUUAAUUCAAGAACUCCUGUCCUUUGAGUUGAUGGUACAAGUUUCUUAAUGGUGAACUGUACGUGAGCUAUGCAUUCACGCCCUUUUGUUUAUGUUGCCAUUAAUCUAUGUAAUAUAUUCCAUUUUCACUAUUACCAAUGACCCUUGUUUUCUUGGUUCUUCUUUUUAGCAGGGAAAGGGUGGGAUUUUAAAAGUGGGGAGCGGGAAGGGAACCUGAACUCGGUUAUCAACAUUUGGAUGAGGGCCAUCGAUUCUUUAUAAAAAAUCCAACCCUCAGACAUUUCUUUUAUCAUUGAGAAUCAUCAUCAUGUAAUGUAACUUCAUCAUCAACAGUUUUGAGACCUCCACUUCCACUUUGCAUCUUCCUCUAAACUUCAAUUAUAAAAAUGUAUGGCCCAUCUUUAAGGGCAAGAAUGCUGAUCUUCAUAGCACCGCUUUAUGUGGUUAGGGCAUAAUCACUAGCUAAUGAUAUGAUAGGGGCUGCUACCUCCCCAUUUUAGUGACAUUGUAAAGGCCCUUCAUAUGACCAAAAAAAAAAAAACUCCAAAAGUCCUCCAAAUCUGAAUUUUAAUCUCUUAAAUUCCAUCUAAAUUGAAAAAGAAAAAUUUGAGAAGAGAAAAACCAGAACAAAGAGCCAAAAAAAGAAAAAAGACCAAAGGAAGACGGAACGGAAGAGCUAAAACGCAGGAGUUGUAGCUAUCUCUAUUGCCGUUGGAAUUCACCACCACUUGUCGAACCAUCAUCACAAUAGCACUAUAUAGGCUUUUCCCCCUUCUAUUUCAAAUUUCCUUUUCAUAGUUUUUGAGGUCACAUGCCAAUUGCUUUUCGUCGCUCUUGAUUAGCAUGUUUGAUUCGCUAAUCUCUUUUUAUGCUCUUAAAUUGUUUGAAAAAAUGACCAAAGAGAAAAUCUUAGUGAAAAAAGGAGAAACUGAUUAACCUUUACGUAUGGAAAAAAUCCCAACCAGUCCAAAGUUGGCUGGAGCCUAUGAAUUCAUCGGAGAGUAGAAGGACAAAUUUUGGGAGGUAAUUUUUAUUUUACUUUAUUUUUUUCUCUUAUGCUGUUUUGUAGUAAUUUCAUUAGAAUUUCGGUGUGUGAAUUGUAUUUUGGUGUCUGGGAGAGAGAAAGGCAACUCCAGCAAGGUUAGAUGUGAUACUGCUUGUUUUCCGGUAAGUUUUCGAGGAAAAAGUAGAACAGCAGUGACAAAACUCCAUAUUUAGUGUCUUGCCCAUAUUCUAUAUAGACGAAAAGGUCCCUUGAUUAUCCGUUGUAUCUUGCGCGUGAUGCUGUUUCUAUUAAACAUGACGACUCAAGUUGUUGGAAUGGGUACGAGUAUACGUUUUAAUUAGUUAGAGGGUUAAAAUUAUCUAGUUAAUAAUUGAAGGGUCAAAAUUGAAUUAUAUAAUAAUUUGGGGGGCAUUGAAGCAUUUUGCUUAUUAAUAAAGCAAGAACUCAAAAGCCUCUAAGUUUCCUCUAUGGAACCAAAGGUUCAAACCUAAGGACACAAAAAAAAAAAGCAAAAUAACUACUAGCAUUAUUAGUUUUUAUAGUUUUAUCUAGGGGUGUUUCGCGAAUCGAGCCGCUCGUGAACCGAUCGCAAGCGACUCGAAUACGAGAUCGAGCUAAUUAAGUCGAUCUCGAGCUCGAACUCAAAAAUAUUAAGCUGGUUGGCUCGCAACUCAACUAUAUAUAUUAUUUUAUUUUUUAUUUUUUAUUUUAAUAGUAAAAUUACAUAUAUCCCUAAUAUUUUAUUAUUUAUUAAAAAAAUUAUUAUUUUAUACAUUUUUAAAAAUAAAAUAAUUAUUUUUUAUUUUUUAAAAAUAAAAUAAUAAUAAUUAUUUUUUUAUUUUUUAAGCUCGAGCUCAAGCUCGAGAUCGACUCGAAUUUGACUCGAGCUCGAGCUCGAGAUCGAUAUUUUGAGCUCGUCGAGCUCGAACUUGAGUUCGAGCUUCACAAAAUUAACUCGAGCUCGGCUCGAUUAGCCAAAGGUCGACUCGAGCUCGGCUCGUUUGCACCCUUAGUUUUAUCUUUGUAAAAACAUAUAUAAAUGGGUUGAUAAUUUGGAUAUCAAGAGUUAUGAAAAAUCUAAAAUCUUACGAACAAAAAUUUUUUUUGGGUAUUUAAUCCAAUUCAAAACAAAACACGGUACAAUAUACCAAAUAGAGGAAAAUCCGGUAUAUCUUUGCUACAUUUGGGCCACGAACUUCCCAACAGAUCCAAUUAGGUCUUCGGAGGUGGCCAGUGCUAUUACUAAUUCUGGCCCACAGGUCCCCAGAAGAGGACGACAUCGUUUCACCUCACUUAUUGUGCGUGCCUGUAUGGAUAGAAGUAGGGCGCGUGAGACCAGACAUCACUUCGGAAGAGAACGAGGGAGUGGGAGAGAGAGAGAGAUGGAGGAAGAAGAGCACGAGGUGUACGGUGGUGAAAUCCCCGACGAAGGGGAAAUGGAAGGCGAUUUGGACCCUAACAGCGGCGAUGUCGACAUGUCCACCGCCGACGACGACGCCGUCAAGGUACUCUCUACUUUCUCUCUGUCACUUUAUCCGUUUUUUGUUUUAAAGGUUUUCUUUCUGCCCUGAUUGUUGUUGUGAGUUUGGAUCUGGAUAAUUGACCUGGGUUAGGGUUUUGUAGGAAUUGGAUGAGAUGAAGAAGCGAUUGAAGGAGAUGGAAGAAGAAGCAGCAGCUCUUCGCGAGAUGCAAGCUAAAGUUGAGAAGGAGAUGGGUGCUGUUCAAGGUGUAUAAUCUAUGCGCUUAUUUCUUUUUAUUUAUUUAUACGAUUGCAUCAGCGCUAGUGUUUUAUGAGCGCUGCGCAUAUAUGGAAUGGUUUUGCUUUUAUCGAAGGUUUUACUUCAUCGGAAGUGGUAGAUGUCGUAUGAUAAGAUUUUUCCGUUCGAUAGCGGCUGAAUUUUUGGGGUAAAGUUAUUGUUGGUUGACUAAUACCUUAUGCUUAAUAAAGCUGAAAUCUUUGGGAGAAAGCUUUUCUUUUUAAUCUUUUUUCUUGUUUUUGUGUGAAAAACUAGAAUUGUAAGAGUUAUAGUAGUUAAAAGAGAAUUUAGGAAGUACUGAUUUGUUUACAGCUUUUGUUUUUUGCAAAUUUGUUAUUGUCUUAUGCAUGCUAAAGCUGAAACACUGUGGAAAAGUUUAUAUAUAGAAAUUUGAAGAGUUACGGUUUUUUUUGGGUAGUACUGUAAAUUCACUGAUUCUGCUCUCGUGGAGCUUGAAAUAAUUUUGUCUUUGUUAUUGGCGUAUGCUUGUUAUAGGCUUGGAGCUAUUGAGAACUUGUCACAUACUUAUUUUUCAUUCUUUCUCUUCUUUUUUGGGUGCUGGGUGGUUUUCUGUAGUGUAGUAAUUUCUAAAUUUCUCAGUUAAAAUUUUAUAGCUUGGCGCUAGUGCCUCAAGUGAUGGUAAUCAUUCUGAAGUCCUUGAUGCAUUACUUGAAUUGGUUGAUCAAGUUUUGAAUGGUAAAAGAUCAUGUUUUAAGCAUCAAAUCUGUAGCCAUCCAGAGCCAUUCACUAUCAUGGGUUCACCUUUUAUAUGCAAGUAUUGCAUGCUCAGGAUUUUGGUUAUAUAUAUCUUUUAUUGUACCAAACAUUCUGACUGCUGACUUGAAGUUGGUUAUGAAAGAAAUUUGGGGUGGGGACCGCUGGGUUUUUGUUUUUUUUUUUUGGGGGGGGGGGCUGGUGGGCGGGGAAAGGUUGUGUUCUUUGGGAAGAGGCUUCUUCAAAUUGAGUCAUGGCCAUUAAUACAUGCACAUUCCUUUUUCCCUAAUUUGACGCAAACUGGCUUUUCAGUCUUUCUUGUUCUGUGUUUUGCGUGCAAAUUACUCCGUAUCAUCUUUACUAAAAUUUGUUGCCUUUUAAUACAUUCUGAGAAUCAACUCUUUGCCCUGAUGGUUACUUUUUAGUUUUUGCUCUUAUUAAGCUUCCUUUUCUCAGACUGAUCUAAUAGUAAGUUCAAAAUGGAUUGACAGAUCCAGCUAGUGCAGCUGCUUCUCAAGCAAACAAGGAGGAAGUUGAUUCACGAUCUAUAUUCGUUGGCAAUGUGAGAACAAAAUUUGUUGUUAUUGAAUUAGUUUCUGUAGAUUUACUUUUGAGUAGCAUAAUGAAUGAUAAUUUAUUUACAUUUAAUUUACGUGUCCCAUUAUCCCCUGGGUGAAUGAUGUUGUUUGGAGUUAUCUCAAGUUUCCAAUUUCUUAGUUUAUUUGAUGAUGAUUCAAGAUCUUAUUACCUAGUUAUGUCAUCAGUCAAGUACUGCAGUCCCUUGCUGCAUUACUAUUCGUUGACUGAUUGAGGAAACUAAUUCUUCUAGAUUAUGAUAUUUUACAUAUGAUGGGACAUGUCUGUUCAUGUACAAUAGAACUUAUGCUGAAUAGGUGCUUCUUUCCCGGUUAUGUAUGGUGGAUAAUAUGCAGCAUUGGCCAUCCUUUUUUGCAUAAAGGACUAAAUUCGAUAUUAGUAUAGAACUGGAAUGUAACAUUUUUGUGGCUGAGGUGACACUGUCUGAGGCAGUGUCAAAGUACUAAGAAAACAAGUGCAAGACUACUAUGUUGAGUUCAAACCAAGCCAUUCUUGGUUAAAGGUGUGGCAUUUUGUUUGUAAUUUAUGCAGGAAGUUGUUCUGUUUUUACUACACUCAACACUCCCUUCUCCUCUGCCAAAAUAAAUAAGUAAACGGAGAAGGAAAAGGAAAUUAUUAUUAUUAUAAUAUUUGUCUUCUUGGGUUUGGUCUUUGAGUUACUUAAGAAACAUUAACAAUCUUGUGCUUUCUUUAUUAUUUCACUUUGGGAUAGAGCUGCUAACAUUGUAUUUACCUUCAUUGAAUUUCUACUUUUUCAAUUUUUUCUAUAACGGUGACUUGAUAUUUGGGUCUUCUUAGUAAUGUUCUUCCUUCAUUUCUUCUUUGGUUUGAUGUCCCUUCCUUCUUUUCAAUGUGACCUUGGUUUUGGAUUUAGAUAUUAUUGAGAGUCAUGUUUGACUUUGAUUAUAUCGCAGGGUCAUUCUUAUUCUGAAUUAGAGCUGGAAUUAUUAUCCUGUAUUUUGAUGGUGAAAAGAGAGCACAUCUGGUUUUCAGUAGGCACUUUUACAUAGAUGUUAAUGUACUUGCAUUUUUUAAUUUGAAGAAAUUGUAAUCCAAAAAAGUAUGUGGAAAAAAGACAAAAGAUUGAACAAAAAAAGAGAGGGUGAAAAAGGAAAAAAAAUGGAAGAUACAAAAUAAAUAGUUGUGAAUCUCCCCAUAAAAUGAAAAAGCCAAUUGUAAGAAUAGUUGUGAGGGGAAAAAGGUAAAAAAUUGAAGGGAAAAAAGAGAAUACAUUGAAAAAAGAUGAUGAAUGGGGGACUGAGAUGAAGGGAAGUUUGCAAAUGAUAUGAAAUUUUAUUUUUUUAGGAAGGAGUAUGUGUACUUCUUGCUACAUGUGUUUUCUGUUGGAGGCUGAAAUGGAUGUUGACCUAUGUAACAUCUAGAGGUUUGAGUUUUUUGGCUACCCUCUUGGAAGACAUAUCCACAUAUUUGAAAGAGCCAAGUCUAGUGGUUGGAAUGCAAAUUCUACUUGCUGAGUUUGAUUGCUGCUGGCUGGUGGUGGACCUUGUUACCUCAUGUUGUUGGGUGUUUAGCCUGAUGUGGUGAGGUGUCAUUACUUGCCUACAGCUAUAUGAUAUUGUUAUCCUGCAAUUGCCAAGAUCAAUGUUCAAGAACCCUUUGAGAAAUGUUUCCUUCCCAUGUUGUUGCGGCGCAGAUAUAUGCUGUACUUCUUUAGUGACCGUUCGCUUACAAAAGGUUGUCUAUAAAUCUUUCGCAUUAUUGCAGUGGAGUGGCAAUCAUUGACUUUGGAAAAAUUUUCCCAGUACUAUGAUAUAGUGCUGAUUUUGUGCGUGGAGUUCCAUACCUAUUUAAGUGGAAUAGCUUCUUCUUCUUCUUUUUAAUCUUUUGUUGUUUGGAAAACGUAAUGCAAUUAAUCAUUGAAGUUUGAAUUUCUACCUUUGGAAUUUCUUACCUUGCUUAUGAUGCUGAUAAUUACAUGAAGCUAGCAAAUAAUUCAGAAUCUUCUCAAUGAAAAUAAAACAGUGGACCAAUUUUACCAAGUUCCUUCUUCUCUUAUUAGUAUUUCGUUAAUGUUCCUAAAUUCUUAUUAAGAUUAAUUUACUUAGGAUCAAACCUCCAGAUCUUUUAAUUGAUGAGUGCUUUGGUAUCAAAUUCAGUACGAGUAUUAAAAGUCAUAGUAUGGCAGUAUGUGGUGGGAUUUAGUCUAGUGUUAUUUUUUCCCUUUGAAACUUUUUUUUUUUGGGUUUCAUCUUUUUUUUUUCUCUAGGUGGAGUUUGCUUGAUCCAUCCUGGGAACUUGUUUUAGUAGAACAAAUAAGGUCGUUAGCAUGUCAAAACCAAGGAACCUGAAAUUCCGCUGCUUGCUUCUUUGGGCAUAGAUGAUUUAGUGUAAAGACUAGUGUCUGGAUGUUGUAUUUAAUGUUCCUGUGGUUGGUUAUGGUGAUUAUGGAGAAGUUGUUGCUGAUUUUGUGCAAUGGCUUUGAGGUUGAUUUUGAUCUAGAGUUUCCUUGAUUAUGAUUUAUGUAUUGUACCAUUCAUUUUGUCAGAAUUUCAGCCUAGUCAAGGGGUAAAUGUUAAAGCUAUUAAGUUUCUGCUAAUUUUUUUUUACCACAUUUUCAGUCACCUGGAUCCACCACCUUUUCAGAUUUCUUGAACUGCAGUUGUAUAAUGAAUAUGGCUUUUGACGAAUCUCAACUUUCAGGUUGAUUAUGCUUGUACUCCCGAGGAGGUUCAGCAGCAUUUCCAAUCAUGUGGUACAGUUAAUCGGGUGACUAUAUUAACUGAUAAGUUUGGCCAGCCCAAGGGUUUCGCCUACGUGGAAUUCCUUGAGCAAGAAGCUGUUCAAGAGGCUCUACUUCUUAAUGAAUCUGAACUCCAUGGACGACAGUUGAAGGUUUAUUAUGCUUCCCCUUUCUUGUAUUUCUCAAAAUCCUCGCCUCACCUUCCGCCUACAUACUUUUUUUUUCCCCUUCUCCCACAAGAAUCCAAGCAAUUUGGCAAUUCGUUCGUCUGUCAAACAAAAGAUGUAUUUGUGGUUUUGCCGGUUAAAGGAAAUGGAAGCAUUGUCGACCAACUUUAAAAUCUAAAUUGUAUAAUAUCGACAUUUGAUAUUCACCCAAUUGGUCAUUGAGGAGAAACCUCUAUAAUGCUUUCACAAGUUAGUAGUUAAACUCGUGGGAAUUUUGCAUUCUGUGUAGUUUACUGGAAAUUUUAAUCACCAGGCUUUUGAAUGUAUUGCGCCCUUUUUUGAAUAAUUAAUCUCUAUUUGUUUGUUUAUUUAUUUUUGGCAGGUUAUGGCCAAAAGGACCAAUGUUCCUGGAAUGAAGCAGUAUCGCGGAAGGCGUUUCAAUCCCUACCUAGGUUACAGAUCUAGGAGGCCAUAUGUUCCUCCAUAUUUCUACUCACCUUAUGGAUAUGGGUAAAUGCUGUUUUGGUCAUUUACUUCUAGUUCUCAUGUUUUAUUGCUUUUGGGUGAAAAAUCAUCCGUUCUGCACUUUACAUGCGUCAGGAAGGUUCCACGGUUCAGAAGGCCAAUGCGCUACAUGCCUUACUACUGAAAAGAUGGAUGGCCAUCGGACCGGCAUUGAUACUUAGUGAAGCGAGACUACUUAUUAUAAUGUGAUUCUCUUCUGAAGGUGUAUUGAGGAUCCUAUCUGCCCACGAAAUUUGAUGUUAGUAUUAUGAAAACCUCUUAUCAGGCAUAAUGGACAUUGUAAUAUUAGCUAUUUGCAGCAAUGCAUGCAACAUCAGCUACUUAAUAGAAAUUCUGUUAAGACGGUCGAAACUCGAAUGUCGAGGAUUUAUUUCCUUGUUCAAGUCUUAUUUCUCCUUGUUGACUAUGGGCUGCUUUUAGCUGUUUAUAAUGUUAUAUAUACUUGGUGGUGUGUUGCUCCGACCUUUAUCGUGGUUGAAUGUAGCUGCUCUGUGGGGCAAAGGACAAGUACACUUUUUGGUCUCCGGACAAUAUCCAUCUUUGUUGGGAGAGGAGUUUAAUACACCAAUGUACGUUUAGAAUUCCCUUCUUUGUAUGUUUCUCUUAGGGUCUGUUCUUCCUAGCGAUUGGGCCGGAAUGGGAAGUGCUUCAGUCUUUAGGAUGGAUCAGAGAACAGUCGAUUCCUUUCCCCUGUCCCUCUUUCUACAGAGCUUCCUUUAAUUUAUUUAAUUUAGAAAAGUGCAUAAACAUUCGUUUCCUCGACAAGGCGAGAUGGGCUAAUGGUGGAGAUUAAAAAAAUGCAUGCCGAUGAAUUGGCUUCACGUCCUGGGACAUGUUCUCCUUUUCACUCUCAACUUUAAUCAUAGCUCGCCUAAAAUAGAAACUUUAUCAUAGCUUAAGAAAUGCCGGCAGCUUGGAUGGUGGCCUUCGCACACCGUGGAUUUGGUUCGUGGUUCGAAUUCCUAAGUUGGGUGAGCUAGAUCCUGUAAGAUUGUGUUUGGGUGACUUCAUCAUAGCUCAAGAAAUGCAGGCAACUUAGAUGAUGGCCUCCGCUUACAGUGGAUUUGAUGCCAAGAUUUUUCCCUGACUCCUGAGCUGUGUGAAUUAGCUCAGAUGAGGUUGUGCUUGGUUGGCUUCAUCACAGCUUAAGAAAUGCAGGCAGCUUAGAUGGCGGCCUUGGCUCAGUGCUCACUUUGCAUUUGUUGCUUAGAUCUUUUCCUGGUUCUAACGCCUAAAUUGGGUGAACAGGACCUGUUUCUCUUUGGUGACAGAUUAGGCCCAGUCAGUAUUUCAAACCUGACCACGUAAUCCAAUAAAACUUUCCUGGAAUGUGGAAUAGCGUUGAAUUGGAGCACAACAACAUUGCCUCUUUUGCAGUAGAAUCUGACUCUGUGCAGCCACAAAUUCCACCUUGGAGUUUGGAGAUGAAAAGUGUUCUUUUGGACCUUCUGGGUACUGUGCCGCAGUCUACUUCACUCACUAUCUGAUCAUUUCUGCAUAUCCUUAAAAAGCUGCCAAAGAAUUUUCUCAAUUUGCUAAAGGAUGCUUCAGAAUCGACCUGAAUUCUGACCAUCAAUGCAGCAAGUUCUAAAAUUAAUACAACACAUUCAAUCUGCUAAUGAAAACCAAGACAAUCUUUGCUGAUGAUGGUCAGCAGUGUCUUCGUUGGCUCUAGAGUCCAACUGAGGAAUGAGCAAGGACAUUCCUCACUCCCACGGAACUGGUCUUGAUAUUUUUCCGCAAGAAAAUAAGUCUGCAUUCUCUGGUUAAUCUGCAAUACCACAUAUUCCAAGGUACGCAGCAAGUUUGAUAUUCAAAGUUUUUCCCCUCGUUUAUAAGGAAUCCAUAGUAUUACGGCACUGAAAAAGCCUCAUCUCUGAAAAUUUUUGUAUUUAUUUUCAGGAUGUUUGAGAGGAAGGAGGGUUUGUUUAUUUUGUUUCGUUGGACUGAACUACCACUGGGACUUGAGAAAAUCAAUGUCACAAUUUAAGACAAAGAAGAAGAGUGAAAUGUCAACGAAGGUUCCAUAAUCCGUCAUAGCAAUUUACCAUUUCUUUUGUGCAACGCCUUGAACCUGAGUUGGACCAGUGGAGAAGAGCAGAAGAAAAAAGGCGCUCUUUAUUUUAUUUGAUUCUAACUUUUCCCGCGGACCCUCACGUACAUAAACACACAGAUUUUGGCCUCCGAGAUUGCUGUCUUUGACUCUGUGGGAAUUGUUUCCCGUGGACCCUGACGUACAUAAACACACAGAUUUUGGCCUACGAGAUUGCUGUCUUUGACUAUGUGGGAAUUGGGAUUUGCUAUUUGAUCCUGUUAAAUACAAGCAUUUUAAUGUCUAUGAUCACCAAGAUUUCCACAAUUAAUAGUUUUUGUCAUCAUUACAGGAAGAAGGGAUUGAUCAUCAUACAUGGCUGUGAUUUAUGACAAUUGGGAAAGGCUAGUUAGAGCUACUCUGAACGGGGAGGAGCUCCGGCUCAUUGCUCUGAGAACCCCUAGUGAAGUUUCCUCAGUAUCACUAUUAUCAGCAUCUCCAUCCUUUAAUUUGAGUUCUCAGAUCGGCCAAGUUUCAUCUUUAAAUUUCAGGAGCUUAUCAGUUGGGGAUUCAUUUACGUAUUGUCAAAUUCUUCAAGCUACAGAUUUCUUGAGCGACUCCAAUCUCAUCAAGCACGGCCACUCCGGGGAUCUCUAUUACGGUGUUCUCGAAAGUGGGGCUGAAGUGGUAGUUAAGAAACUUCAUCUGUCGCCCGUAGACACAGAAUUUUAUUUAAUAUCAGAAUUGGAAAUUUGUGGGAUGAUUUAUCAUUCCAGACUGAUCCCUUUUCUGGGAUAUUGCUUCGAGAGUAGAAACAAAAAAUUUCUAGUUUACAAGUACAUGCCUAAUAAGGACUUGUCCAAUUUUUUGCAUAGAGAAAGUGUCUCGGGUAGUGAUGAGGGUUAUAGCAGAGUACCACCGUUAGAUUGGAUAACAAGGUUGAAGAUUGCAACUGAAGCUGCAGAGGGUUUAUAUAUCUACAUCAUGAAUGUUUUCCACCCCUUGUUCAUAGGUAUCCCAAAUCUAUUCCAGGCAAUCUUCGCUUUUGAGGGCUUGGGAAGGAUUUUGAGUGUGGAUUAUUAUCAUAAGGCAAUUCACUUGCUUCACUUUGAUUCUUAAAGAGAUAUUCGAGCUAGCAGCUUUCUGCUUGAUGCCGACUUUCAAGUGCAUUUGGGGAGCCUUGCUGAGGUUUGUUUUGAAGAAAAGGACAGCAAUCAGAACAGGAUUGCAAGGUUGCUGCGGUUGCCAAAGUAAGUUUUUACUUUAUAUUGAUACUUAUAGCAGUUCUCUUAUUGAUGAACUUACAAAAAUCGAGCCAUAGGUUAGUAUUUGCUUGGCUUAAAUCUACAAAUAAGGUUAUUCUUGGGAGAGCAUAGAUUGAUGCUUGCUGUAGCUGACAGUAACUAUGAUCCAGAGAAUCAUGUGAGAAAAUAGAAUAGAUUUCUUAAUUGUAAUUUAUGAGAGUUGCUUUGAGUCCUCAUGUGCUUGGUACUUCAACCAUAUUAAAUUAAAACUAGCCUCUUUCUUUUGACCAAUUUGACUUCAUUUCUAAAUGUUUCGUUUUUAUUGUUGUUGAGUUUUUUGACAGAUUUUCUUUGUAUGCAGGGGUUAUGAACAAAGCAAUUCUGGUACGGGACUUUCAGAUUACUUUUACAUCCUGCACUUUCCUUCUUUGUUAUCCUACUUGAAAUGCCAGUAGCUUGACUGUUAGUUUUAGGGUCAAUUUUUUAAAGCAUCUGCAGAGCAGAGAGAGGUCACUAGCAAUAUCCAAAGAUACAAAGAUGGCUUGAAGCUGUUACCAUGAUCACCAGAAGCUCUGUUUAAAACAGGAAUUGUUCCGCCUUAUGUCAGUGAAAUUUUAAAAAACUUGACACCAUUGCCAUCUAGACUAUACUUGGCAAACCAUCUUUCUUGACCACCUUGGGACUUUUUAAAAAUGUUUGAUAUCCUUAGAAUGACAGAUGGUUUGGUUACUUUUCCCAUUAGUUGUCUGUGGAAUUUCUAUUUUUGGCAAAAAGAAUUUCUCUCAUUCUGGUAUAGCAUAUGAUGUUGCAAAAAGAAGCAGACAGCAUGGUCUAUCACAAAAAAAAAAAGGUUAAAAAGGAAAAUUAGCUGGAGAAAUGUUCUUUUAAGCAAACAACGUUCAAACAAUGUGUUCUUGUGAUGUUGUGAAAGAGUUUAAAAGGCAAAAGUAUAGAACCUAAGAAGCUGAUUCCUCUGCUUAUGUGCAGAAGUAAGCUUGACUUUUUUAGGCAAAUUCCUUCUUGUUCAUUUAACAAUUCUAUUUAAUCUGCUUCACAUAUAAAUCUGGAGGAAGUUUGAUUAAAAAGUCCAGAAGGUUAAGGGGCUGAACUGAUUUCACUAGUCGAACUCUUAUCUUGAAUGACCAGGUACAUCUAAUGCAACAUGUGCCUACGAUGUAUAUUGCUUUGGAAAGGUUUUACUUGAACUAAUCACAGGAGAGUUGGGCAUCAGUGAUGCCAAUGACUCAAUUAUGAAGGCUUGGAUGGAAAACACCCUGCGUUACAUUAAUCCAGACAACAAGAAACUCAUUGUAAACAUUGCAGACCCAACUUUAAUCACACAUGAUUUGAUGGAAGUAUGGGCAGUUGCUUUUGUUGCCAAGGCCUGUCUCAGAGCCACACCAUCUAAGCGGCCCCAAAUGGAAGAAGUACUUGAGGCUUUACAAGGUACCAAAUCAGCUACCUUCACUGUCAAAAACCUUCAGCGUGCUGGUCAUCCCAAUUCACUUGGCCCAGCUCUUACAAGGCCAGAAAUUACUAAGGGAUCUAAAGUACUAGGUAAAUUUAUCUGAUUGCAACACUACAUCAGAAGGUGCAACUAUUCUUCUGAUAUUAAUAUUUAGUAAUUCUUUGAUAUCUUUUUGCAUUCAAGAAAAGAAAUUUACUUGACUGAUGAUUUUUUGGCUGCCUUUUUCUUUUGCAUUUCUUUACCACUUCUCGAUGCAAAAGAAAGAGAGGAGUACUAACUUAAUUUUAUUGCAUGAUGAAAUACAAUGUGUACCAGAUUAGUUUUCCUUGUAUAUGUUUUUGGUGUCCCCUUUAGUUUUGAUUUUGACAGCAUGGGAACAAGAUCAUUUCUAGCUUUAGUUCAUUACGUACUGAUAAUCUUAUAAAUUUUAAGGGCUUAUCGGUAUGUUGUAGGAUGGACAACGCCGUCCAACCACAUUACCUCUUCAUGCGGCAGCUCCAGUUCAGGUAACCAUGAGUUCUCGGAUGCUAAUGGCACUGAAAAGGUUAAGCCAAAUGGAGAGAUAUUGGACAGCCCCAGUUUAUGUGCUUUUACUUAUUUGGAACUCAAGAUUGCUACCAGAAAUUUCAGAACUGACACCUUGCUGGGAGAGGGUGAAUUUGGGAGAGUGCACAAAGGUUUGCUUCAUUAUAAGUCAACCGCAAAGAGUGGCACUCAAUCACUAAUUGCUGUUAAAAGAUUUUACAAUGACACUGUGCUAGGACUUAAAGACUGGCAGGUAAUACACACUAAACUUGUCACUAACUUAUAUUUGACAGUCACUUCAUAUCCAGUUUCCUCUAAUUUCUCCUCACUUCACUAUUUUUGCUCCAGUCUUUUGAUUUGAGUCUCUAGCAUAUGCUUUACUGAGACCUUCAUUUCUGUAAAUGUAUGCUGCUAUCUCUUUUGCAGUAAUUAAUUUCCUUCACUUCUGAGGUAGAUAUAAGGACAACCCAGUAGAUUAGUCCUCCUAAUUAUGAUCUGUUAAGAAACUUUAACUUUCUUUGUCUACUGCAAAAUUCUUCGGAUUUGUUCCAAUGCUUCACUUCUCUCCCCCUUCUUUUUUUGGUUAGGCUGAGCUAAACAUACUUGGAAGGCUUUCUCAUCCUAACCUUGUUAAGCUCCUUGGCUACUGUUGGGGGAAUGAAAAGCCACUACUUAUCUAUGAAUAUAUGCAAAGAGGCAGCUUGGACUCUCACCUUUUUACAUGUAGAUUAUGAUUCUGAUUUUAACAAUUUCAGUUAGUCUACCACCAGCUAUACUGAUCUGCCAUCCUAAGAAAUCAAUUUCGUGUUGCUUUGAUUCCAUAGGGUACUCUGAUGUUCAGCCACUUCCAUGGGACAUAAGGCUUAAGAUUUUAAUUGGAGCAGCCCGAGGUCUGGCAUUCUUACAUGCACUAGAGAGAAAAGGUUCCUUUAACCAGAAGAACAUGGGAGAAGGUUUCUAUAGAUAUUUCAAGCCCUCAAAGAUUUUGCUUGAUGAUGUAAGUUGGAUGCAGGAUUUCAACAAAUAUUGAUUUAUUGCAAGCAAGAUUUCUCAUAAAUUUGUUUGCCAAAGCUUGGAGGUUUCUGCCUACACUUAGGUUGCUGAUUUCCAUUGUUAACUAAUGUUGACGACACCAUAUUAGCAAGACAAGCCUAAUUUCCUUGUUAAACAAUUUCUUUGUAGGCAUACAAUGCGAAGAUAUCAGGUUAUGGUGUGACUAGGAUAGAUCCUCCUGACAUCGACUAUGAAGCAGAUCCCAUCAAAUGUAACCCGGAAAGUUAUGUAUAUGCUGCUCCUGAGUAUUAUCCGACAGGUAAUCCAACCAGAAAUCUCAGUCACUUACGUACUCGAGGUUGAGCAGAAGCUCUGAGUAAACUUUCUUUAUAGAAGUUUAAUUUGCACAAGAUGCCGAGAGAAAGAUGUAGUCUCAAUUGUGUUAAUUCUUUUUAAACAGGGAUUUGCUUAUGCAGAGCGAUGUAUAUGGUUUUGGUGUUGUAUUGGUCCAAAUGCUGACAGGUAUAGGUGUGAAUCAUCCAAAGUUUACGAGAUCCAGGCUGCAUCAUUUCAUUUCGUCUCACUUAACUAACAGGAGAAUGUUGGAGAAUAUAAUUGAUAUCCGCUUAGAAGGCAAAUAUUCUUCAAAAGGUGCUGUAGAAAUGGCCCAGCUUGCUGUAAAAUGUCUUAUGUAUGAUCCCCUAUUGAGACCAUCAAUGGAACAAGUUGUGCAGUUACUAGAAAACAUUAAAUCUGCGAAUUGAAACCCAAAAGGCCUGAAGAUAAACUCCUCUGCAAGACAGUUUUGCACGUGGUCAGAAGCACUUGAUGAGUUGCAUCAUAGUUCUCCGCUUCAACAAAGGAAUGAAGGAUAUGUAUCCCAUGAUUCCCAUCCACUCCAUAAAAGUGCAUAGUAGCUGGACUUGCUUUCUUAAAGAAUAGCUCAUUCUUUAUCUGUUUUUUCUGUACACUUUGACCACUUCCAAUUUGUGUUCACCAAUCCCACCUUUUACAAGUAGUUAAGAGUUCAUUAUGUUGUUCUUCUAGCAGUACAAAUCAUAUGAGCAUAAUUGAUAUAGCUGAUCUUUCAUCAGAUCUUUUUUUUUUUGGUUAAAAUCAACCAAUUGAUGUUCUUUGAAUUCGUAGGAAAUGUAACUUUUUUUUGGGGGAGUGGUGGUGGGGGGCGGUGGCCAUUGAGAAAAUUUAUUGUAUAUUAGUUUAUUUGUCUAUUUAUGGCUGUAGUGAUCCUAUUUGUUUUCUGCCAAUGGGAACUUCGUGUUUACCAUCUUCUUCCCUGGAUAAGUUGCACUAAAUUUGAUCUGCUGUAAACUGAGAGUUGGUAUUUACGUCUAGCUAAUGUUGGAUAUUGUCGAAGCAAAUAUGUUGACUUGGAAAAAACCAGGCAAGCAGACUUCUACUAUUAAACAAAAGAUGAACAAGAACCGAAAAAGGGGCAAAAAAAAGGGACCUGUUGGCUUGGAAUUAGUUCUUAUAUCUUAUUACGCGACAAUACCCGAGGGGGAUUUUCUUUUGUCCCAUUCAACUAGACAGGACAUAAGUCAAAGAUUAAUAAAAGACUUGGGAUUGAAGCCUUGAAGAUGCAACCAAGACUCCAACAACACUGAUCAAUUCUUCUUCAAUAUCCUCUUAAUUACACAGCACCAUACAUAUUUUAAGGAAUGUGUUGACGCCAAAAUCUGAAGAUCUUGCACUAACAAUUCACCAGUCAACUUAAAGAAGGACUGAUCAAUUAAAGAUGACUGUAGUUUAUGACAACUGGGAAAGGCUGGUCACUGCUGUUCUGCGCAGAGAGGAGCUGUGGCUAAGUGGUCUAAGAACACCGAGUGAUGUAUUUUCACUAUCAUCUGCAUCAGCAUCGCCCUCUUUCAAUUUCAGCUCAAACCCACGCCAGGUUUCAUCUUUAAGUUCUUGGAGCUUAUUAGUUGGGGAGUCAUUUACAUAACAUCAAAUUCUUAAAGCUACAGAUUUCUUGAGUGACUCAAAUCUCAUCAAGCAUGGCCACUCUGGAAAACUCUUUUACGGAGUUUUGGAAGGUGGGACACAAGUAGUAGUUAAGAAAGUUGAUCUUUCCUGCGUUGAGAAUGAAUUAUGUUUAAUGUCAGAAUUGGAAAUUUGUGGCAUGUUAUAUCAUUCUAGACUGGUCCCUCUUCUGGGGCACUGCUUGGAGAAUGGACACGAGAAGUUUCUGGUUUACAGAUACACCCCUAACAAGGACCUGGCAAGUUUUAUGCGGUAUGAUAAAAUUAAACAACUACCGUCGUUAGAUUGGACAGUGAGGUUGAAGAUUGCAACUGGAGUUGCAGAGGGUUUAUGCUACCUACAUGACAAAUGUUUUCCACCCCUUGUUCAUAGGUAUCUUAAUACUAGCAUGUCAAGACAGCUUCCUAAUAUUAACCCCUUUCUUUAUGUUUUUAUUUCUUUUAAAGGCUUUGGGGCAUGCAGAAUGGGAAUUUUAACUGCUCAGCUUUCCGUAAAAUGUCUUUGCUAUGAACCCCUUGUCAAGACCAUUAAUGGAACAAGUUGUGGAGGUACUAGAAAACAUUGAAUCUGCCAAUUAAAAGCGAAAAGGGCAGGAGAUGAACUCCACCCGAGGAAGUGGUCUGCAACCAAGGAAUGAAGGAUAUCCAUCCCGUGGUUCCCAUCCACUCCAUAUAAGUGCAUAGCGGCUGGACUAGCUUUCUCAAAGAGCAGCUCCUUAUAUAUAUGUUUUUCCUGUACCCUUAGACUAUAUUCCAAUCAUUGUUCUCCAAUCCCGCCUCGUACAAGUAGUUAAGAGCCCAUUUUUCUUGUAGCGAUAGAAAUCCUACAGAACAAAAUUGAUAUUUUGUGCUGAUAUUUUGUCAGUCAGCAAUUUGUUGUAAAAAUCAACCACUCAUGUCCUUAGAAUUCGUAGAAAAGGUACCUUUUUUCUGGAUAUUGAGAAGAUUUUAUUGUAUUUUUUGUCAUUUGUCAAUUUAAGGUUAUAGAGAUCUGAUAUAUUUUCUGACACGGGGAACUUCGUGUUCACUAUCUUCUUCUUUUGGUAAGCUGUACUAAAUUCUGUUCUGCUGUAAACCGAGACAUAUUGGAGCCAGUUUCUUGUUAUGCUAACUGGGAAAGAGUUUAUCAGUGGCGGAGUCAGGAUCUAAAGUCAUAAGGUUCAACUUUGGACACCACAUCGAAUAUAAUCAGAGCAAAUUUACAACAAAAAAAAAAUGCUUAUGUUAAACAUACUUUCUCCGUUAUGUCAAUUAUAUUUUGACAUCUAAGUUUCGCUAUAACGUGGUGGUAGUUUAAAAAUGUCAAAAGAGUUUGUUUUUGAAUUUAUAUCAAUAACUAAUCUUAAUAAGAUCUAACACCUUUAUGAAGCAUAAGAAUUAAGAAUUCUUAAUUUAUCAAGGGAGGAAAUGUAAAUAAAAAAAAGGAGACAUUCAAAAUUUUAGAUGGGUCAAUAUAUAAGUUGAUGGAGUUCUCAAACAUUUUCUGACCCUAUAUUUCUUGAGCAGCUGGGCAAUAACAAAGGCAAGUUGUUGCUUGCAUUUUUUUUUGGGUUUGGGUUAGCCUAUAGGAACACUUGACAAGAGUAGAAAGACUUGAGUAGAUGGAAACAAUCAAAAGCAAACGUAAACCUGAACCCUUGACGAAUCUCUUCCACAGUCUCCAUCUUAAUAUCAGACACUUGGUCAUCCAUCCAUUAGCUUUGUACUUGAAUGUAUGAAAAAAUGCGAGGAAAAUCCUAUCAUGAUAAAUCGGAGCUACAUCCUCAAAUAUGAGUUUUAAUAUUAUUGCCUGCAUCUAUACUUUGUACGCUGACAUGUAAAGGUUGCAUGUAGAGGUUUAUAUAAACACCGUCCAAAGGUUAUAUGUUAUUACAAAAUUAUUCGAGCAGUUUAAAAAUAGAUUACCUUAACAUUUUUAAAUUUUUAAAAUUUUUUUUUUGGUAAAGCUUUGAACUUGACUCAGUCAACUGGAGAAAGAACAAAGAAAAUUCAUUUUUUUCUGUGAUUACUGUUCUCCCAUGGACCAGGCUGACGUCCAUAAUACAGCGUGACUUCAUCUCCGAGACUGGCAUGGCACAAUGCUACCUUUCUGUUUUCUACAAUUUAGGUUUGGGGUGGGAUUAGUCUGUUUGUAUCCUGUUGAAUACAAGUAUUUUGGUGUCUUUCAUCACCAAGAAUUAUACGGGAAGAAGGGAUUGAUCACCAUAUAUGGCUGCGGUUUAUGACAAUUGGGAACGGCUGGUUACAGCUACUCUGCGCAGAGAGGAGCUCCGGCUCACUGCUCUGAGAACCCCGAGUGAUGUUUCCUCAGCAUCACUGUUAUCAGGAUCACCAUCUCUCAGUUUCAGUUCUCAGACUGGCCAAGUUUCAUCUUUUAACUUCGGGAGCUUAUUAGUUGGGGAUUCAUUUACUUAUAGUCAAAUUCUUAAAGCUACACGUUUCUUGAGUGACUCCAAUCUCAUCAAGCAUGGCCAUUCUGGCAAAUUCUUUUAUGGUGUUUUGCAAGGUGGCACAGAAGUGGUAAUUAAACAAGUCGAUGUUUCUUGCUCUGAGAAUGAAUUGUGUUUUAUGUCAGAAUUGGAAAUUUGCAGCAUGGUUUAUCAUUCUAGGCUGAUCCCCCUUCUGGGGCAUUGUUUGGAGAACGGAUAUCAGAAGUUUCUUGUUUACAAAUACACCCCUAACAAGGACCUGGGAAGUUUAUUGGGGCAUGAUGACACUAACCAGUUACCAUCAUUAGAUUGGACCACGAGGUUGAAGAUUGCAACUGGAGUGGCAGAGGGCUUAUGUUAUCUCCAUCAUGAAUGUUUUCCACCCCUUGUUCAUAGGUAACCCAGUGCUAGCAUAUCUAGAUAGAUUCCUAAUGUCACUGUUUUGUCUUUUUCUUUCUAAAUUUUUCUGGUGUUGGGGCCUAAGGGAGGGGAUUUGAUUGUAGAACAUGACGUUAUGGUCUUCAUUUCUGAUUCUUCUCUUCUGAAUCUUAAAGGGACAUUCAAGCUAGCAGCAUACUACUUGAUGAUGACUUUGAAGUGAGGUUAGGAAGCCUUGCAGGUGUCUGCAUUGAAGAAAAAGAAAACAAUCAGAUUGGGAUUGCUCGGUUCCUGCGGUUGCCAAAGUGAGUACUUGCAUGAGGCUGUGACAUUGCUUACAACGAUUCUGUAUUAUUAAGAAGUAUUAAGGAUAAAUGUCCUAGAUUUUGCCGUACUUUAACUCAGUUGACUUGCAAACAAAAAGUUUGUUUAUUCAAAAAUUCCAAAAUGAUGAUAUCAGUUUCCAGUAUCAUGUGAAAAAUUUAGAAUUCAAUUGUAGUCCUAAUUUGAGUAAUAACUUCUCUGAAUUGGAUUGGUUUUGAAGCUCAAGCAUUUUUGACGACAUUUUGGUUCGCUUCAUGCUUGCUUACAAAUCAGAAUGGUCCAAGUUCUAUUUUCAUAAUGCUAGAAACUAGCCUGUCUUUGUUAAGGCAUUGACAAUCUUUCUUUUUUUAUGGCAGAAUUUCUGAACAAAUCAGUCCAGGUAUGGUACUUUUGACGUUUCAUCUUCUGCAUUAUCUUGUUUUAUCUAACUGUGUCUCGAAGCUAGAGUGAAUUCUUUAAAUUUUUUGGUCGUGGUAGCAAGCUAUCAUUACACAUCAGCUGUCAGCACUGUCGAAAAACCAAAGUAAUACAAAACACCACCAGAGGUUUUGUUUCAGUAUGUAUUUGCUCCAGAUGUUGGUGAUUAUGCUAAAAACACUUCACAUUCUUCCCAUUUAGACCAUGACAUAUUGGGCAAACCAUCUGUCUUCCCAUAUGGACUGAUGCAAGGCUCUGAUCGAGCACACCAUCGUUUGAUAAUCCCCGAACUAUUUAAUCACUUGUAGAUGUUGUCAUUACAUAUUGCAUUAGAUUGUUCGGGGCUUUCCUUUGUUUUGGCAACAAAUAGAAGUCUCAUUUAUUAAUAGCAAGAGUAUGUGUGACGAAGAAGCGCAUCAGGACAUCCAAUCACUUAUAUAUUGGACACGGAAGGAUUAAAGUAUAAAAAAGUUUGAUAUGUCAAGCACAAAAGGAUGCUGAUUUUCAACUAUGUCAUUGUCUUAAUCCAUCUCCUGAACUGCAGGUAAAUCUACGGCAAGACGCUCUUAUGAUGUUUAUUGCUUUGGCAAGAUUUUGCUUGAGCUAGUCACCAGCAAGCUGGGUGCUAGUGCUGCCAAUGACUCCAUUACGAAGGAGAAGGAUUGGAUGGAAAAGACCCUACGCUAUGUUGUUGUUUCAAAAGACAAGAAACAGCAUUUGACAGAAGUUUGGGCAGUUGCUUUCAUUGCCAAGGCUUGUGUCCACCACAAGCCUUCUAAGCGGCCCCAAAUGUCAGAAAUACUCGAGGCUUUGAAACGUGUUAAAUCAACAAGGUUCGGUAAUCAACAACUUCAAGCUGCUAGUCAUCCCAACAAACUUUUCCCACCUCCUACAAUGCCAGCAGUUCCUGAGGGAUCUAAAACAAUAGGUAGGCGUGUAUUGAUCACUGGGAUAGAGGUUCCGUGACGGAGCCAAGAUUUUUUCCUUCGGGGGGCCAAAAUUUUUUGGAACAAAAUUACCUUAAUAUGUUAUGUUCAAAAUAGUUCUCAUUUAUUUAAAUAUAUGACAUCUUAAAAUAUCAAAUAUUAACUUUAAUUAUAAAGGCAUGUCUAUUUCAUAAAUAAGCAGCACAGUCAUAACAAAAAUUAGGGCAAGAAUUAACCUUUAAUUAAAUAUCUUAUAACAUCACAAAUUAUCUAAUUUGUACAUUAUGAGAAGAUGCUCCAAUAUGUCACUUAUGCAAAAACAAAAUAUAACUAUUUUUAAUUAAUAAAAGAUAAAAGUUAUGUUAGCAUAUCUUGAUAUUUCAACCUCUUUUCUUAAAAGUAAAUUGAGAUUUAUGUUCUUUCACAGAACUAAAUUGAAUCAGUGCUAAAUUCUUGAACAACUUUCCUUUUUUUAUGUACAUUGUUAGACAAUCAUUCUUUGGAGUUUUGUUUUGAUUAUAUUCAUAAUUGAAAAUGUACGUUCUAUAGUUGCAGUUGACACAGGAAGAGUGAGAACAAAUAUAAUCAAUCUGUCAACAACAGGAUAGAUCACUUAAUUUCUUAUCUUCACCAAGCUUUCAAGUAAUUAUUUGUAUAUUUGUAUAUAAGUCAACAGGAGGAUAAAUCACUAAUUUUACAUUUUUUUUAUCAAUUAUGCUAAGUUGUAUAUUUGUAUAUGGACCAAUAAAGUAAUUAUUUUUGGUUUAGCCCAUUGAUAAUUAUGAAUUGAGUCUUUUAUUAUUAUAUAUCGACUUGGGUCAAUUUACUAUGGAUCAUCAAAUUAUAUGUUUAAUUUUUUGAACGUUAAAUAAUUAGCACAAUAAAAAAUAAAUAACUUUUUUGAAGAAAAAAUUAAAUCAAAGGUGACAAAUUCAUAUACACAUAGAUAUAUAUAUAUAUAUAUAUAUAUAUAUAUAUGUAUAUAUAAACUCUCAUAAUAUAAACUAAAAUUGUAAAAAAUCAGGGGGUCAACUUUGUCUUAUACAUAUAUUUAUAUAUUAUGAAUUAAAAUUUUUAAAACUCGUGGCCCCCUCAGCCCCCUUGUCUCCGUCAUUGAUUGAAAUAUAUUCUGAUGAUCGGCUAUGUUUUUCCUAUCAAGCCUGUUUAGUUUCUUCGUUUUCUUUGUCAAUAUCAGCCUUAUACAGUUACUUUGAGUUUUCCGGUCUGCCGUUUUUUGAUGGGCUGUAUGUGCUUUUUGAGUGUUCUGUUCUUUCAAACUUAUUUUACUAGUUCACCUUGCGUCCACUAAAAGACCAUUUUAAGCCAUAGAUUCGCUUCUCAGCCUGCUGAGUACAAUUUUUAUGGGUAAUUUUUUGAUCAACUUGGAAUUUGAAAACCUGAUUCUAACUGAUAAGAAGUGUCAUUUGGUCCUUUAUGAUGAUAAUUUCGUAUUUUGUUGGUGAACAUUGUCAGUUAGCCGACGAUUUUUCAAGAUAUUUACUUCCUUUUAACAUCUCUGUAGACACUAUACAAAGAACCAGGUGCGGAUAAAACCUGAAAUUUUGACAUCAUAACGAAAACAUAAAAUAUUUUUCUUUCUUUCUCUUCUUCCGCCCUUUUGUUUUUAAUUGUAGCAGCAUGGCGAAAGGAUUGCCAUUCACUUUUGUUCUUGGAAAUUAUUGCUGAUAAAAAAGGACAACCACUUAUCUGUACCAUGUAGGACGGAUGUCACAGGCGACUGAAAAUGCCAAAUCCACAGCCAGCAGCACUGCUUCAGGGAGCUAUGAGUUCUCAGAAGUUAAUGCGAGUAAGAAGGUUUAUCCACUGGGAGAAAUAUUGGCCACCCCCAAUUUAAGGAUUUUUACUUAUUCGGAACUGAAGGCUGCUACAAGAAAUUUUGAAAUUGACACAUUGCUGGGAGAAGGUGCAUAUGGGAGAGUAUACAAAGGUUCGCUUCAUGAAAAGUCCAUGUCAGAGAGUGGAAGUGAAGCACUAAUUGCUGUUAAAGAAGUGUAUUCCUGGCGUAUUCCAGCAUUUCGAAACAGGUGGCAGGUAAUUCCCACAAAACAUGUAACCAGCCGAUCCGUGAUAGUCUUGAAUUGGUUUCUAACCUUUUGGAUCUUAUUAACCAAAGAGAUCUGACUUUGCACUAUAGUUAGUUUAGCACUAAACAAUUGCGCCUCCCUAGUCCCUACCCGUAAUUUGGUUGUCUCUGGCUCACAAUGACUGGAGCACUAUAUUCUUCUUUGUUAAUCUAUGUUGCUAUCCCUCUUGAAGUACUUUGUCUUGGCACUUCUGACGUAAAAUAGGUAAUUGUUAACAAAUCUACUAUUUCCUUCCCCGUGUCACCCAUGAUCAGAAGACCAAUUUGAUUUGGUUUCUUAUGUAACUUGAUAUUUCUUAGUUGUCCGAAAUGCCUUUUUUUUUCUUUUCAAAUUUUUUGUCUCGGUCUGUAGUCUGAGGUGGACUUGCAUGGAAGGCUUUCUCAUCCAAACAUAGUUAAGCUCCUUGGAUACUGUUGGGAGAGCAAAGAGCUAUUUCUUGUGUAUGAGUUCAUGCAGGAAGGCAGCUUGGCCAGCCACCUAUUUGGAAGACGUAAGAUACUCCUUUUGUGCUUCAUUACCGAAACAGUUAAUCUUGCUUCGCUUACCAUUGGUAAUUUGUACCCUGUUUUUCGGGGGCUCUGUGCAUCUAGGAGGCUCUGCCUUUCAGCCGCUUACAUGGGAAAAAAGGAUUAAGAUCUUAGUUGGAGCAGCUCGAGGUGUGGCGUUCUUGCAUCAAUCACAGAAACGAGGUUCGAUUAGACGGAAAACAGGAUAUGAGGGUUUCUAUGACCAUUUUGAGCCCUCAAAAGUAUUGCUUGAUCAGGUAUGUUUGACAUGAAUUUAUGAGCAGUAUAAAUUUAUUCAUCAAGAAUGUGAGAUUUCCCAAAAUGUCAAUUGUUUAAUGUUGUAGAUUUCUGCAUAUGAUGAAGUUCUCCUAGAUUAGUAUCAAUGUUACUGAUGACAAGAAGAUGGUAGUGAAAGAAGUCUCACGUCUUUCCAUUACGUGUAAACCAUUUUUUUCCAGUCUUACAAUGCCAAGUUAUCAGAUUUUGGUCAGAAGACCUCAUUGAUAGAUCCAGAUCCGUAUAAUGAAGUACAUCCAAAACUACUUUGGCGUGAAGGUAAUCCAAAAAGAUCUCUAAGAUUCCACAAAAACUCAUCAUCAUGACUCAUAAUUCAAGUACCCUUAUUUAACAGGGAAGUCGUCCCCAAUGAUGGAUGUAUAUGGCUUCGGUAUUCUGUUGGUCGAGAUGAUAACAGGUGUAGAGAAGCUAGACACACGUUGUCAGACUGAUCAAGAAGUUAUGCUCGAUUGGAUCAAGCCUGAUUUAUCUGGCCAGCCUUUGUUCGGCAUUUUGGAUUCCAAGCUAGAAAGAAACUAUCCUGUAGAAGCUGUUACAAAAGUGUCACAGCUUGCUCUGUUAUGUCUUGAGAAAAAUUUUAAAUACAGACCAUCAAUGGAAGCAGUUGUGAAGGAAUUAGAGCUUAUUGAAUCACCAACAAAGAAAGGCGGGAAACUGGGUUGAAUUCUGCGAGCCAGAUAGCAUAUAUUUACAUGGUCAUCAACCAGCAGUCCCACAAGGUGCAUUCUGUUUUCUAUACAUGCUUUCCAGAAGAAUGGAUCCAUAUUCGGACGUUGUCGCUGAUCGAUCAGACAGCUUCUCCAGUGAUGCACACCACAGAGACUUGGAAAUUCUUUCUUCACUUUUGUAUGGUUGUUGAAAAACAAGAAUCACUCUUGAGCUUAACAUUUCUACAAAUACGAUCUUACUCUCUAGGUGCUAAAAUGAAACGGGCUUGAUGCAUACAAAGUAACAACAAUGUUCCACAUCUGGAAUAAUUAUCAUUUAUAUGUCUUGUCAUGGAGAGAUCCCAUUACUAACUUUCAAAUUUUAAGCGGAAAAUCCAAUAUAAAUUUCAUAGCUUCAUAGUAGGAAGUCUGCUGGCUUCAAUUCUUUGCUGAAGUUCUCAAACUGUUAGAUGACGAAGUUCUCAAAACAGUUUCUGCUCCUAUAUUUCUGGAGCAGCUGGGCAAUAACAAACGCAAAAUCAAGGGUCUGAGAAGCAUCAAGCCUGGGAUCACAAUGGGUCAAAUUACUCGUUAUAUUCAUUCAGGAUAGGAAAACCUCAUUUUUUUUUCAUUUAUAUUACUUACAUCUUAUCUCGCUAAAAUUGGAUGGCUAUCUUGCACAAAUUGUUUAAAACACUUGUUGAAAAUGGGUGAGUGCCCCUUCCGGGAAGCUUUAUUCUUGUCUUUUAAUGUAACACAUUGAAGUUGGGUUGAUCUAUGGAGAAGGAACGAAGGAAAAAAAAAUUUUUGUCUCCAUAAACAGAGUCUCUUCACCUUAAAGACUGCGACUUAGAUACCACUG
rnacentral:lncRNA from 1 species